UUUGGAUGCGCGUGCUUACACAUGCAGUCGAGCGGAAUGCCCUUCGGGGUACACGAGCGGGGAACGGGUGAGUCCACGUGAGCCCCUGCCCCUGACUCUGGGAUAAGCGGUGGAAACGCCGUCUAAUACCGGAUACGACCCGCCAUUUCAUGGUGGAGGGUGGAAAGUUUUUCAGUCAGGGAUGGUCUCGCGCCCUAUCAUCUUGUUGGUGGGGUAACGGCCUACCAAGGCGAUUACGGGUACCCGGCCUGAGAGGGCGACCGGCCCCUGUGGGACUGACACACGGCCCAGACUCCUGCGGGAGGCCACAGUGGGAAAUAUUGCGCAAUGGGCGAAACCCUGACACAGGGACGCCGCGUGGGGGAUGACCGCCUUCGGGUUGAAAACCUUUUUUACCACCAACGCACGCUCUAACUUCUCUUCGGGUUGACGGUAGGUGGGGAAUAAGGACCGGCUAACUACGUGCCAACAGCCGCGGUAAUACAUAGGGCCCGAGCGUUGUCCAGAAUUAUUGGGCAAAAAGAGCUCGUAAGCGGCGUGUCACGUCUGCUGUGAAAGACCGGGGUUUAACUCCGGUUCUGCAGUGGAUACGGGCAUGCUAGAGGUAGGUAGGGGAGACUGUAUUUCCUGGUGUAACGGUGAUAUGCUCAUAUAUCAGGAGGAACACCGGUGGCGAAGGCGGGUCUCUGGGCCUUACCUGACGCUGAUGAGCGAAAGCAUGGAGAGCGAACAGGAAUAGAUACGCGGGUACUCCGUGCCAUAAACGUUGGGCGCUAGGUGUGGGAGACUUUCCACGGUUUCCGCGCCGUAUCUAACACAUUAAGCGCCCCACCUGGAGACUACGGCCGCUACGCUAAACUAAAAGGUAUUGACGGGGGCCCACAAAGCGGUCGAGGGUGUUGCUAAUUCGACGCAUAGAAGAAUCUU
rnacentral:rRNA from 1 species